CCUACGGGUGGCAGCAGUGAGGAAUAUUGGUCAAUGGGCGCGAGCCUGAACCAGCCAAGUCGCGUGAGGGAAUACGGUCCUAUGGAUUGUAAACCUCUUUUGUCGGGGAGCAAAAGACGCCACGCGUGGCGUUCCGAGAGUUCCCGAAGGAAAAGCAUCGGCUAACUCCGUGCCCGCAGCCGCGGGAAUACGGGGGAUGCGAGCGUUAUCCGGAUUUAUUGGGUUUAAAGGGUGCGCAGGCGGAAGAUUAAGUCAGCGGUAAAAUUGAGGGGCUCAACCCCUUCGAGCCGUUGAAACUGGGUUUCUUGAGUGGGUGAGAAGUAUGCGGAAUGCGUGGUGUAGCGGUGAAAUGCAUAGAUAUCACGCAGAACUCCGAUUGCGAAGGCAGCAUACCGGCGCUCAACUGACGCUGAGGCACGAAAGUGUGGGUAUCGAACAGGAUUAGAUACCCGGGUAGUC
rnacentral:rRNA from 1 species